UACAGAGGUCUCAAGCGUUGUUCGGAAUCACUGGGCGUAAAGGGUGCGUAGGUGGCGUGGCAAGUCAGAUGUGAAAGCCCAGGGCUCAACCCUGGAAUUGCAUCCGAUACUGCCAUGCUGGAGUACUGAAGAGGUGACUAGAAUUCUCGGUGUAGCAGUGAAAUGCGUAGAUAUCGAGAGGAAUACCAAAGGCGAAGGCAGGUCACUGGGCAGUUACUGACACUGAGGCACGAAGGCCAGGGGGAGCAAACGGG
rnacentral:rRNA from 1 species